rnacentral:tRNA from 1 species
CCGUCUAUAGUUCAGUUAGAAGAACGUUCGACUGUAAUGGUUAAGCAUAUAUCGAAAGGUCGCUGGUGCAAGUCCAGCUAGACGGA